UACGUAGGGUGCGAGCGUUGUCCGGAAUUACUGGGCGUAAAGACCUCGUAGGCGGCUUGUCGCGUUGUUCGUGAAAAUUUACCGCUCAACGGUGAACUUGCGGGCGAUACGGGCAGGCUAGAGUACUGCAGGGGAGACUGGAAUUCCUGGUGUAGCGGUGAAAUGCGCAGAUAUCAGGAGGAACACCGGUGGCGAAGGCGGGUCUCUGGGCAGUAACUGACGCUGAGGAGCGAAAGCGUGGGGAGCGAACAGG
rnacentral:rRNA from 1 species